rnacentral:rRNA from 1 species
AAAUUGAAGAGUUUGAUCAUGGCUCAGAUUGAACGCUGGCGGCAGGCCUAACACAUGCAAGUCGAGCGGUAGCACAGAGAGCUUGCUCUCGGGUGACGAGCGGCGGACGGGUGAGUAAUGUCUGGGAAACUGCCUGAUGGAGGGGGAUAACUACUGGAAACGGUAGCUAAUACCGCAUAACGUCGCAAGACCAAAGUGGGGGACCUUCGGGCCUCAUGCCAUCAGAUGUGCCCAGAUGGGAUUAGCUAGUAGGUGGGGUAACGGCUCACCUAGGCGACGAUCCCUAGCUGGUCUGAGAGGAUGACCAGCCACACUGGAACUGAGACACGGUCCAGACUCCUACGGGAGGCAGCAGUGGGGAAUAUUGCACAAUGGGCGCAAGCCUGAUGCAGCCAUGCCGCGUGUGUGAAGAAGGCCUUCGGGUUGUAAAGCACUUUCAGCGGGGAGGAAGGCGGUGAGGUUAAUAACCUCAUCGAUUGACGUUACCCGCAGAAGAAGCACCGGCUAACUCCGUGCUAGGUUAAUAACCUUGUCGAUUGACGUUACCCGCAGAAGAAGCACCGGCUAACUCCGUGCCAGCAGCCGCGGUAAUACGGAGGGUGCAAGCGUUAAUCGGAAUUACUGGGCGUAAAGCGCACGCAGGCGGUCUGUCAAGUCGGAUGUGAAAUCCCCGGGCUCAACCUGGGAACUGCAUUCGAAACUGGCAGGCUAGAGUCUUGUAGAGGGGGGUAGAAUUCCAGGUGUAGCGGUGAAAUGCGUAGAGAUCUGGAGGAAUACCGGUGGCGAAGGCGGCCCCCUGGACAAAGACUGACGCUCAGGUGCGAAAGCGUGGGGAGCAAACAGGAUUAGAUACCCUGGUAGUCCACGCCGUAAACGAUGUCGAUUUGGAGGUUGUGCCCUUGAGGCGUGGCUUCCGGAGCUAACGCGUUAAAUCGACCGCCUGGGGAGUACGGCCGCAAGGUUAAAACUCAAAUGAAUUGACGGGGGCCCGCACAAGCGGUGGAGCAUGUGGUUUAAUUCGAUGCAACGCGAAGAACCUUACCUGGUCUUGACAUCCACAGAACUUUCCAGAGAUGGAUUGGUGCCUUCGGGAACUGUGAGACAGGUGCUGCAUGGCUGUCGUCAGCUCGUGUUGUGAAAUGUUGGGUUAAGUCCCGCAACGAGCGCAACCCUUAUCCUUUGUUGCCAGCGGUCCGGCCGGGAACUCAAAGGAGACUGCCAGUGAUAAACUGGAGGAAGGUGGGGAUGACGUCAAGUCAUCAUGGCCCUUACGACCAGGGCUACACACGUGCUACAAUGGCAUAUACAAAGAGAAGCGACCUCGCGAGAGCAAGCGGACCUCAUAAAGUAUGUCGUAGUCCGGAUUGGAGUCUGCAACUCGACUCCAUGAAGUCGGAAUCGCUAGUAAUCGUAGAUCAGAAUGCUACGGUGAAUACGUUCCCGGGCCUUGUACACACCGCCCGUCACACCAUGGGAGUGGGUUGCAAAAGAAGUAGGUAGCUUAACCUUCGGGAGGGCGCUUACCACUUUGUGAUUCAUGACUGGGGUGAAGUCGUAACAAGGUAACCGUAGGGGAACCUGCGGUUGGAUCACCUCCUUACCUUAAAGAA